rnacentral:misc_RNA from 1 species
AAGUCGUAACAAGGUUUCCGUAGGUGAACCUGCGGAAGGAUCAUUAAUACGCUUUUGUUUGUAACAAAACAAAACGUUUUAAACCCCAAAAUUGAAAUAGUGGAAAUAUAACUUCCGGAUGCGAAUGUUGGGGAACUGAGUAAAAUCGGUUCUUUGAAAAAAAGGGACUUCAAGCAAUUGACACUUCAGAGUAGAGCAGUGAGGUGAAACUCGAAAGAGUUUGGUUCUGAAAAACAUUUGUAUCCGGUUAUCAAAUCUGUUCUACCAAUUUAUCAAACAAUAAACCCCAUGUACAACAACUUGAACUAAACAUUUUUUUGUUGUCUGCUUUGCGGCAGAUGCAAAGAAAAAACCUGAACUUAAGAACAACUCUUAACAACGGAUAUCUUGGUUCUC